UACGGAGGAUGCGAGCGUUAUCCGGAUUUAUUGGGUUUAAAGGGUGCGUAGGCUGUGCCACAAGUCAGCGGUGAAAUACCCGGGCUCAACCCGGGAGGUGCCGUUGAAACUGUGGUGCUGGAAUGCGGAUGCCGUGGGAGGAAUGAGUAGUGUAGCGGUGAAAUGCAUAGAUAUUACUCAGAACACCGAUUGCGAAGGCAUCUCACGAAUCCGCUAUUGACGCUGAGGCACGAAAGCGUGGGGAUCAAAC
rnacentral:rRNA from 1 species